rnacentral:rRNA from 1 species
AACGAACGCUGGCGGCAUGCCUAACACAUGCAAGUCGAACGAGACCUUCGGGUCUAGUGGCGCACGGGUGCGUAACGCGUGGGAACCUGCCCUUAGGUUCGGAAUAACUCCCCGAAAGGGGUGCUAAUACCGGAUAAUGUCUUCGGACCAAAGAUUUAUCGCCUUUGGAUGGGCCCGCGUUGGAUUAGCUAGUUGGUAGGGUAAAAGCCUACCAAGGCGACGAUCCAUAGCUGGUCUGAGAGGAUGAUCAGCCACACUGGGACUGAGACACGGCCCAGACUCCUACGGGAGGGAGGAGUGGGGGAUAUUGGACAAUGGGCGAAAGCCUGAUCCAGCAAUGCCGCGUGAGUGAUGAAGGCCUUAGGGUUGUAAAGCUCUUUUACCCGGGAUGAUAAUGACAGUACCGGGAGAAUAAGCUCCGGCUAACUCCGUG